CUUCCGGUAUGUACCGGAAGUGGAAGUGUCUCCCGCCCUCGUCCCUUCCCUGUGACCUGUCAGCCAUGUUGUUCACCGGGACUGUAUGUCUGCUGUUUGCUCCUUCCAACCACAGAAUGGCGAGGAUAUCGCACAGAGCUCGGGUCACAGUACAAAGUGCCCCGAGGUUUCGCGCUCCUUUUCGCGUGUGUACAGAUCAGAGUUCAAACUUCUGAAACCCUGCUGGGCCAGCGCUGAGAAACGACUUAAAAAUUUUACUUAAAAGGCCCAACUACAGUGACAGAAGACCAGAGGUCGCCGAAGAGUGGAGCUAGAGGGAGAGAUUAACUACAAAAGGAUACAAAGGAACUUUUGGGGUGAUAGAAACAUUCUGUGCCAUGAUCUGGUGGUUACCCAUUGCCACACAUUUGUUGAAACUUACCGAAUUAUAUAAUUAAAAUCGAUGACAUUUUUA